GGGGCUGGGAUGAGACUGGCUGGCUGGCUUCUGAAGUGAGGCAGCCCCGGGUGCAGGCAAAGGGAGGUGCUUCUUUCUUACUCUACGCUUCCAGGUGCUGUCAACACAUCGACUCAUGUAAUCUUCACGACAGCCUGCUCAGUAAGGGCUAACAUCACUCACACUUUACAGAUGAGGACACCAAGGCACAGGGAGGGUUAGUAAGCUGCCCAAGGCAAUACAGCCAGUAAGAGGGGGAGCCAGGAUCCCAGCUCAGGAGCCUGGGCCCCUAAUGGCAGCCGGUGCUUUUCAGAGUCCAAACCUUAAACUCCUUCAAGGCCUUUUUUGAAUAAGGCACCAUUGUGUGAAUUCACCCAAGUGUUGCUGGGUUUAUAAGAAAAUCAGACAGGCUGGUUAAGACUAAUUUUACCAAUCAAUGACCGGGCAGAUAAGAAACAUUUUUUCUAGGGAGAAUUUCUUUUUAUAGUUGAGAGACAAAACUAUAAUGGAAUUUUAUCCAGAACACACUUUUACUAACUUGAGAAUGGCAGCUAGGGGCAUGAAAAUGCUUAUCCGAAUUUAAUACACUAAAUUGUAUCUAAGAGGCCACCAGCUGUGUGCAUGUCAAUCCUACACUGCAGGUCCCAGACAGGUGUGGGCAAAAGCACUGAGAGGUCAGGAACCCCGAUGCACGGACAGUUCCGGUCUUUCUUCGGGAACAAUGCAAAUCAUCCCAUGUUCCCCUAACCACGGAACCCUGGCCAAGUGAUUUCCCCUUUCCUGAUCGGGAUUCCCACAACUGUAAGAUGCAAAGGGACAGGCUAGGUCCAAAACCUACAUGGAGAGGUCAUAGGGGGCUUUAAAGAGAAGCCAGCAAUCUGCCUCCGAGAAAGUGGGCCAGGCUGCACACGUCUGAGGAAGCUGGGGGCCACCGUGGAACAAAUAACAGGAAAUUGAAAGCCUACAUCCAGGCAAAGAGCUGGGACCAGGAAGGACAAGGUGCUACAGGAGUAUGAACAGCAGGGGGCGCCGGUUUGGAAGAGCAUGAUGUUUCCGCUGAGCUCGGAAAGAAGAGCACUUAGCUGAGCAAGGAGGGGUAUCUGUCAGAGCUUCAGGGAAAUGAAAUAUAAAGAGAUGAUGUACAGAGUGGCAGAUUCUGGGGUCAAGAAAUUGAAACAGUGACACUGGUGUAUAAUCUCACUGAUCUACGAAUGUUCUUUAGAAACCCAACCUGCCAGUAAGUCCAGGUAAAUGGCUAUCAUCACCACACUCCUAGGUUCAAAUUACUGGCAACUCAGGAGGAACGUAUCUUGCCCAAAGAUAGGAGUCUUGGGCCAUGACCCACAUCCCUGGGCAUGCGUGCCCUGGCACGCCUUGACGCCACCUUGGAGAGAUGCACCUCCACAUGGAGCCCUUGUGCCAAAGUGCCUGAGGGAGGGAAGCGGUGCAGAGAGGAAGAGGCAGGGGAGAGAGCGCCAGCCCUCCCUCCAGCAUCAGCAAUCUCAACACGGCCUCUACCUUUUUCAAAAUGCUCAUCUACACUGUUCCCCCUGACUCAGACUCCCCCUAUUUCUGCUUAUCACAUUUCUGUAUGUGCUUCUAGGUUCAAAGAAUAUCACCUCUUCCAUGUUAAUUGAACAGCAUGUUAAUUAACAGCAUUCAGGUGGUUAAUUGUCCUAGUUUUUCUGUCAACCUGCAGAAUUAUCAAGUGCUGCAGGAAAGCAACCACCCUUUCCCCGCAAAGUGGGGAGGUUUCAAAGCUCAGAAAUAUUCCAUCAUGUCCUCCUCCUACAGAAUCCGAGGGUGCCGAAAGCUAACCUCAGCUGCAGAGGUCAAGCUAUUCUGGAGGCAGGGAUGUUGUUAAAUCAACAGAAUGAAUUAGUACUUCUAGAACCAAACUUCAACUUCAUGCUCAACUGCCAUCUUGCAAAGUGGGCGCCCACAUCAGAACUUUGUAUUUCUACUCUGUCAUCUUAGCUGUCCUUCCCUUCAUUUCCCACCUCCCACGACACGCCCCAAAAAAGAAAACAGCAAUUACUUCUCUAAAUUUAGUUAGACUGGCCGAAGAUGCUCUAGAUCCCAUUGUCAUCGUGCCAUGAGAACCUGCUCUACAAAGGAACACAUAAUAGAUGCAACUUAUCAUCUUCGCUCACCCGGUUUUCAGCUUUU